UUUGAGGGUGUUCUAAAAGAGGUACCUAGAGUCAUGGACCAAAUUCAAAGUUCCAUCAUGAAGAAGUGUUAGCCUUCUUAUGAAAAAUCUUUUAAAUUGAUCUACUCUAGACAGAAUUGUCAUCAAAGACCCCACAAGAUGAGAUCCCCAGUGGCCAAGACAAGAACCCCUUACUUUAAGCUUAAUUUUUUUUCAAGCUUGGGUUUUUGCUUCUCACGUAGUAUCAAUCCCCACCAAUGAUAUGACACUUUAAUAAGAUAAGAGAAUAAUAAGGAGCAUAAAAU
rnacentral:lncRNA from 1 species